rnacentral:rRNA from 1 species
AUACGGAGGAUGCGAGCGUUAUCCGGAUUUAUUGGGUUUAAAGGGAGCGUAGGCGGGAGCUUAAGUCAGCGGUUAAAUGGUGCGGCUCAACCGUGCCCUGCCGUUGAAACUGGGUUUCUUGAGAGUGCAAGAGGCGGAUGGAAUUCAUGGGGUAGCGGUGAAAUGCUUAGAUAUCAUGAAGAACUCCGAUUGCGAAGGCAGUCCGCUGGGGCACGUCUGACGCUGAUGCUCGAAGGUGCGGGAAUCAAACAGGAUUAGAUACCCUGGUAGUCCGCACGGUAAACGAUGAUUACCCGCUGUCGGCGGCAGACAGUCGGCGGCCAAGCGAAAGCGAUAAGUAAUCCACCUGGGGAGUACGCCGGCAACGGUGAAACUCAAAUGAAUUGGCGGGG